UACCUCAGUAGGAAGGUCUGCAUUCAUUUAUCACAUGGUAAAACUGGUCUUGAUCCUUGAAGAAACUAAGCAAGGAGUGAGAGCUCUGUUGUUCUGCUGAUGGGGCUCAGUCUGUUCUUCCUCUUUUCCAACAAUCACACUUAUUUCCAGGAAAGAGAUGAGCUCAGCCAGAGUACUUCUCAGAGAGGAUACCACGUGGAUGCAAAUAAGAGCAGAGAAAGCACCGAGUAGUUACAAUGGUCCUUGCUGGGUGUUUGGAGAAGCUAAUUAUUUGAGAGAGAAACAAGCCUAGGAAAGACUUUUGGGAUUAGGUGAAAAGUGUACCCUUGCAGGGAGCAAGAAGCCAUGCCAUGCCCAGGCUUUCGAUCGCUCCACCACAGGAUAUCAUUGUCCACAGGCCCUAACUUUAGUUCUUGAUUUUUCCAACCUCUCUUUAAAGUUUAUUCUUAUUUUCCAAAACUUAGAAACCAUGCCCAAUGGAAUAUUGGCUGUGAAAUGAAUGAAUGUGUGUCUC
rnacentral:lncRNA from 1 species